GAGGCCUUAGCUUAAUUAAAGUAGUUGAGUUGCAGUCAGAAGAUGUAUGUUAAGGGCGUACAGGUCUUG
rnacentral:tRNA from 1 species